CCGCAGGUCACCCCCGAUGAUGACCUAGACCCCCUCCCCCCCGCACCUGGUGACUCCGCGGGUCACUUCCGAUGGUCACCUAGGACCGCGGGGUGGCGCGGAGCAGACCCGCUUUUCAGGAUCCAGGCUGGGCAGACUGCUGACCGCCCCGGGGGUCGGCGCUCCCACAGACAGCUCUGCCGGAAUCUUCUUCCUCUGCACCGCUCGGUGACUUCAUCCAGUCCAAGAGCUCAGACAUCUGUGUUCUGAAUGAGCUUCAGGCGCUUGCGUCCAGUAGCCCGUUUGAUUAUGCCACCUUGAUGUCCUUUGGCAGCUCAAGUUUCAGGUGUAAACAGGUGCCUUUUUCUUCCCUUCAAAAGGACGAAACUGGAAAAACAUGACCCGUGUGCUGAGCAUGGAUAUUACUCUGCAUCAAACCACCGUCAUCUCUUGCCUGCUGCUGCUGCUAAGUCGCUUCAGUCUCUGACUCUGUGCAACCCCAUAGACGGCAGCCCACCAGGCUCCCCCGUCCCUGGGAUUCUCCAGGCAAGAACACUGGAGUGGGUUGCCAUUUCCUUCUCCAAUGCAGGAAGGUGAAAAGUGAAAGUGAAGUCGCUCAGUUGUGUCCAUCCCUCAGCGACCCCAUGGACUGCAGCCCGCCAGGCUCCUCCAUCCAUGGGAUUUUCCAGGCAAGAGUAAUGACUGGGGUGCCAUUGUCUUCUCUGCAUCUCUUGCCUGGGCUACUGUAAUAGUUCCCUAACAGAGAAACGACUCCUGUAUCCACCUACAACCACUUCUCCACAAUUGGAGUGUUAUUUUUUAAUGUGAGAUAUGGAUUCUUCACCUCUAGUGGGAACCCUAAUAUAAGCUGUGGACUUCGGAUGUGUCGAUAUAGCUCUUCUUAUCUGCUCACCCUGAUCAAUGGUUAGCUAUGUUAGGAGCUGCCCUGUGGAGAGACUCCUGUGGUCAAGAACUUGCUGUCCGAACAACAAUCAGCAAGGAACUGGAUAACAACAACCAGCAAGGAACUGGAUCCUGCCAACAAGCAGUGCAUGAGGUCAGAGCGGAUCUUUCCCCCAGCUGUGCCUGGAGAUGACUUCAGCCACACCCGGCACCUUGACUGCAGCCCAUGGAGACCCUGACGCAGAGAACCCGCCUAAGCUGCAUGCAGAUGUCUGACCCGCAGCAAUGUGAGAUAAUAAAUGUCAUCAUUUAAGCUGGGACCUAACAGACCUGUGGAUAGAUAAACACCAGCCAGAACAGCCAACAGGCUUCCCAGGUGGUGCUAGUGGGGAAGAACCCGCCUGCCAGUCCAGGAGACCUAAGAGACUGUGGUCCAGUCCCUGGGUGGAGAAGGUCCCCCAGAGAAGGAAAUGGCAACCCACUCCAGUAUUCUUGCCUGGAGAAUUCCAUGGACAGAGGAGCCUGGAGGGCUACAGUCCACGGGGUCGCACAGAGUCAGACACGACUGAGCGCACACACUGAGCAGUAGAUCCGACAGCUGGGAAUUUCGAAAGGAAAUCUGCGAGUCCACAAGAACAAGAGUGGAUGCUUUCAUUGAAAGAAGAGGAAUACAAUCUCUGAGGACUGUUUUAUUCUCUCAGGAAGAUGGGAAAACUGGGACUGAUCACCAUUUUGCACUAAUUCUUGCAGAGUUGGUCCUUGUAGAUCCACUGGAUCCCUCUCUUUUGCUUUGUAAAUUGAGCCGAAAUUGUUCCUGCG
ensembl:lncRNA